rnacentral:lncRNA from 1 species
GUGCGAUCUUGAAAACUUCUUGAAUUGCGUUCAUAGUUUGAGCCGGAGGUAUCCACCCGAUUGCGCUGAAAAUAUCUUUUUGGAAUAGGUUUUGACUGUAGAAAGCGAUGUCGAGAAGGAACCAUGUUGAUGUAGUUCCUAGCAAAUGAAGUCCAUGGCGUUUCAUAAAUUCCUUGGAAAACAAGGAAAAGGCUUUGGACUUAUUACUUGAGAUCUCUUCCACUUUCUCCUGUUCUGCCUCUAUCUCCACUUGAAGAACCCUAGACAUGUCUGAAGCAGCCAGCUUUGCGUCCUUAGCAACCAAAGCUGUGUAUCUUGCGGUUUCAGGCAUCUUGGACCUUGAGUAAUACGUCAUGGCCGCAGGGAUAGCACCAACCAUCAAGAUUAUACGCCAUACAAGAUCUGCUUGAGGUACCGUGGAUCUCAAGGCAUCUUCCGCAUAGGCCGGGGCAGGGAACUUAGCUUCAAAAGCAGAGGAAAUGAUUAUAGCAAAGAUGCCACCAGCCAUGAUCCCAAACCCUUGCAUAGCGAAAACCGCAGAAACAAACGCGCCACGAGUUUUCUUGUUAGCGUAUUCAGACAUGAUUGUUGCGGACAAAGGAUAGUCACCACCAAUCCCAAACCCUAGCCAAAACCUAAAGAAACAUAGCGUGGCCAUCACGGCUUUUGGCUCGUGUCCGAAAGAGAGACCAGAGGCGACAGAGCAAAGGACCAUGACCAUCAACGUCAUUCCAUAAACUUUCUUCCUCCCGAGCUUAUCUCCAAGCCACCCGAAAAAGAGUUGACCGGCUAGGGUUCCACAGAAGGCGACGCCGUUCACGGCAGCAGCAACAUUGGGAGGGAGAGUCCCUGGCUUUGCGGAGCCUGGGACGUGGUAGUAAAUGCGGCCAAGGAGCUUGGUGACAAGAGAGAUGCAGAAGAGAUCGUAAGCGUCGGUGAAGAAUCCCAUUCCGGCGAUUAUGAUGGCUGUAAAAUGGUACCAUUGCGUCUUCGCUACAUCGAGUGCAUUCAACACUUUUAACUGAUCCCCAGCCAUUCUUGUUCACCUCUGUAAUUUCAUCAAGAACUCAAUAUUAGCAAAUUUUAGUAGUAUGAAUCAUAUAAGAACGACUGCUCGUAGAUUUUCAAAUAAUAGUAAAAACUAUCUCUUGGAACUAAGAAAGAGUUCGUUACAAACAUUAAAGCACUUGGCCAACUUGGAAUUAAGUUAGGCAAUUUUAAAAGCAAAAGAAUUAAAUAUUUAAACCCCACUUGAAAUUUAAUGUUAUACUAUAGUAUAUGAGUUUUAUUUCUCAUUUCUCAUUUCUCAUUUCGUUUAUCUCAUAAUCAUAAGCCAAAAAGUAUGUUGACCUAAAUAAGAAAGAAAAAAAAAAGUAAGGUAUGUUAAUCAAGCCUGAAGUAAGGUGGUAACUGGCGAUUCUAAAGCCAUUAGUAAACUACAUAGUCUACAUGUAAAAUAACUUAAUUAUAAGCAUUCACAUAAUAUAAAAGAAAAUGAAGGGAUGACAAAUGUCAAGUGUUUUAUUUAUUAUUAAACCGUAUUAUGCAGAAAUGAAAGUAACUAAGUAUGUAACUUGUUUUCAAAAAAUUGAUUCCAAGAUUUUCGACUUUUCCAAAAUAAAUUAAUAAUUGAUUAUAUUAUUUUGGUUUCUUCACUCGUACGUAACAAAUCUUUUAAAGUAAACGAGGAAAUGGGAGGUCUAUAUAUUUAUAUGAAUUUUCAACGAUUACUAUAUUAUCUUUACUCUAUAGUCACCCACGAAGGUUGACUUGUGACAUUUGAAUCUGAACACGAUACCAAAAUUUCUCACGAGUAAGAGAGCAAGUUGUUUUGUCUUAAUUGCGGAUACACUUACUCCUCAAAUUAAAUACGGAGUAUAGUUUUUCCUCUUAUUGAAGACAUUAUAUUUUUAUUUUCUUUUUAUUAGAGUAACAUAAUUUUCGUUAUUUAUGUGCUUGUAAAUCAUCUGAUUCAUGCACUUAUAAAAAAUGUCUAUAUUAAGGCAGAGAUAAGAUCAAACAAAUACGUUUUCAAGAAAACGAAUCCUAAUUAAUGAUCCAGAAAAUUGGAAAACAUAAUUUGAAUUUUUUUUUUAAAGCAACAAUAAGAGAAUCACAAACAAAUGAAGCUCAGAUUGAUCCAAAAUCACUACUGACAAAUACCUAACCGAGAUAGAAGAGGCAGAAUGGACAAAAUAACAUCAUUCAGCAACCAUACAAUUGCCAAAUUUUAUAUAAACAUCCGAAAACAUAAUGAAAAGAAAAACGUACAUGAAUAUACAACAGUCUUCUUGUUAUGUGUGUGGGAUAUGAUAUGAUCAAGUGUUUAAGGUAUAUGUCAGAAGAGUGCAGAGAGAAAGGUCCUCUAGUUUCCUCUAUUUCUGGGGAAAAUGAAGAGAGAUGGAAGGAGAGGAAGUGAAAUGAGCGUUGAAGCUGUUGAUGAACAAGGACAAAGUGCAAGCGUUUUGAAACGACCAUUUAUAAGCGACUCUAUAAGAGAUAUUCCAUUUUAUGUUUCGGUAUAUUCUCCCUCUAGCGACGCCGUUUUCUAUCUUCAAUAUUUUUUCUCUCUUUUUAUUACAACUUUUAUUUCGCUGUAAUUAUUCUUUUAUUAUCUAAAAACAGCUGUUUUACUAUAAUAAUAAGUUCUUGUUUUGUACUUGUAAUUGACCAUGAACUGUACUUAGAUACGGAGGUUUUGAUGUAUUUUUAUAAUAUUAAAUUGGGAUCUUCAACAUUAAGUACAAUCACUAGAUACCUAUUCUCUGGCAUGCUAUUUAGGCAGAUAUAAAAUUUAAAUCAUAAUAGAGUCAAAAUAGGGGUUAAAAAAUGAGAGACUUACAUAAAAAGACACAUUGUGAGUUUUGUUUACUCUAUAAGACACAAAGCAACUUUGACACACUUUUUCCUGCCAGCUGUCUUUAUUGAGACGGAAAUAACCUUGGUUAUUACUAAAGAGAAAUAUACUUAUUUUAAGGAAGCAAACCGAAAAAGAACCAGUUACCUUGUAAUUGCAAUAAAGGAUAAAGCAAUAAAACAAAAAAUUAGAUAUAUGAGUUUAUGAGAAUAUAUCGUGAACGUCAGAUCAUUUUGAAGAAAGCAAAUCCAACGAUCCGGAGAUGUGUUGAUUUGUGGGCGAGUUUUUGUGGACGAAUUCUCAUGGACAAGGUUUCUCGUAGACAAUUUGUGGACACCAUAUAUGUGGACAAACAAAUUGGUAGACAAGAGAAGCGUUGAUAACAUGAUUUUAUCGAAUGUUAUAGAAAAUAAUUGCCUUCUUUGUCUGUCUAAGAAAAAAAUGAGAAUUGUUUAUUAACUUCUUGUAUACUCGAUUUAGAUAUUUAUAAAUUGAAUAAAGAAGAAAUUUUUUUGUGAAUCAAUGAAUUAUGGAUCUAAUUCGUCAUUUAGUAAAAUUUCUCUAUAAAAUCAUUCAUCAUUCAUCAUUAUCAUGAAACAACGAUUAAGCUUUUCUGUGGACACAAUUCAGUGGUCGAACACACUUCUGUGGACACAGUUUAUGUGGACGUGAAAAUGUUACAAAAUUUUCUGUGGACACCGUAUCUACCACCACCUUUUCCACCUCAUGUCUUCCACCUCAUAUUCACAUCCACCACCACAACAUCCACCAACACGGCAUCCACCACCACUUCCUCCUCCUCGCAUCUUCCACCUUUGUAUCCACAUCCACCACAACAGCAUCCACAGCCACGACAUCCACCACCACAUCCUCCUCCUCACGUCUUCCACCUCCGUAUCAACAUCCACCACCAUAGCAUCCACCAUCACGGCAUCCAUAAUCACCACCAGCUCUUCAUCCUCACGUCUUCCACCUCUGUAUCCACAUCCACCACAACGGCAUCCACCACCACCUCCUCCUCUCGAGUAGCCACCUCCACCACUGUUUUUACCCUCAUGAACCAAGAUAAAAAAUCAGACAAGAAAUUAACUUUCCAUAUAUGAAUCUGUUAGAUAUAUCUAUGAAAUUAGGAACAUAGAGUUAUGAUUGAGAAUGGAUUGGAGUUUCUGAAUUCAUGGUGUGACUCACCAAUGGUCGAGUAUGAAGAGUUGGCGGAACAGUUUCAGAUCGAAUAAAAGCUAGAAGUGGAGACAUAAAGCUUCAACAAAGUGAUGGAGAUGUCGAAUUUGAGAAAGUGGAUUAGGGUUCGGAUCGAUCUGUAGUUUUAGUAGAAGUUGGUAAAGAGCCAAAAUUAGGGUUCAUAUCUGGGGGUAAUCGAUUUUGAAAAGGGGAUCUGUCUUACAAAAGUGAAAAAGAUUUUAUUAUAUUUCGAAAUUUUUUAUUUUCCUCACUAGUUUUCUAAUCGUUAUAAUGAAAAUGAGAAAAUCGGUUGGUUCAGUUUCUUGGUUUACGAUCUAGUUAGACACUUAUCCAAUAGUUAUUCUUUACAUAGAUAAGGGGUAGUUAUGACAAUUUACUAAGAGAAAGUGUCUACUUGGGCCAAAGUGUCUAUGAGAGUAAUUCAUAACUUGGAAUGUGUCUCUGAGAGUAAAUUUCUCUUAAAAAAUUCUAACAAAAUGAAUUCAGUUAGCAUUUAGCAGUGUGGUCAGACUUUGGUUACUUAUAAAAAACUACACUAUGUUUGCCUAAUUCGAGACAAUCAUUUAAUUUUAAAAUAUUAGAAUUUGAUGACACACUAUCUUAUAAAGUUGUAAUAAUAACUUUUAAUUUGAAUAAAAAUAAACUUAGGGACGUGAACAAAAGUAUUUAGACGAAGAAAUCAACAUUGAUACAACAAGCAGUUAUUUUACGGCAAAAAGUUAUUUUAACAAUUUUUAAAAAAAAAUUAGUGAUUUUUGAUAUGUACAAAACUUUUUUAAAGUGAAAGAAGAGUAACUGCAUGAUAUCUAUAUCUACAGAGUACAUACUACAAUGUCAACUGUACUUAUUUGGGUAUGGCCAGGCCGUAUGGGAAUAACACCUAUUGUAAGGCUCAUCACUUGUGGAAUGGUAUGUUUCGUAUCUGACAAGUAAGAGACUUUAAUGCAUUUCCAGAAAUACAAGUGUAUCUUGCUUAGUUGUUUUAGCCCAGCAAGCUACCUUCUUUCUCUUCCGUGACCCAACAAGUUUUUUUUUCAUGGCAUCUUAAUUUCCAUCUAUUAUUAUUAUGUAGUAAUAUUUUAUACAAUAAUGACCCUCGUUUUUAAUGAUUUAUAAAAUAAUUCAAUGGUGUUAAAAAAAAUACAAUAAUACUACUCCCUCCGUUCCCUAAAAUUACAUAUUAUAGAGAAAAAUCUUGUUUCAAAAAAAUCUAUUUUUUACAUUUUCAAUACAUAUUUUAUUAAUUAAUUGCAAACUUCAAAAAACUUAAUUGCACUAGUUGAAUUUUUAUUGGUUUAAAAUUAUGAAAAAAGAUAAACACAAAAAAAUAUAUAAAUUUAAUAUGUUUUAUUAAAAUGUGUGAAAAAUUUAGAAUAUGUAAUUUUAAGGAACAGAGAGAGUAUUUAGUAAUGCUCUAUAGUCUAUAUACAUGUCUUUCACGUGAAAUAAUUUCGUGAUGGAGUUAUACAAUCACAAUUUCUUUUCAUUUGGCGAAAACAUUAUGAAAUCUACACCAGUUGAUUUCAUAAUCUAUUUUAUUAAAGAAGACCCAAAACUGAAAUGUUUGAUCCAUAAAAAUGCUGGUUUAUGGUACACUAAAAACAUAUUGGAAUAAUAAUGCAUAUCUAUCUGCUGCUAAACCGUUUCGAUUACAUAGCAAAACGCAUAAAAUGGUAAACAAAUUUACAACUAAUAUAGUACGUAUGCUACGUUGAAAAAAUCACAUAAGCACAUGAAAUUAGCUACAGACUUACGAGCUACAUAUUUCCAAGCUUCUACAGAUGGAAAAUUGUCAACCUGAUUGCUCAACUAUCAUUCAAUUUUCAUGACAUUUCAAGAUGUUAUUCCUUCAAUUCAUGAUGACUUUUGUUGUAAAAACACAAGAUUUCAAGGCCUUACGUUCUUCGCAUGGUGCAAAAACGAUAUUUAUUUUUAGAUGAUAUGAUGGAUUAUGGGUUCCUGUGUUCGACCGAUGAUUACGAUCCCAAAGCGAUUUUUUUUGAGAAUAGUAAAAAUGUUUUGAUUUCCUCGUUACUUACUUAUAAAUUAUUAGUAUAUUUUAGAAACUUGGUUUCAAAAAACUGUUUAUAAAUUAUUGUAUUCUUUUAUUUUCUUCCUGCCUAGACGUUAGCAAGUAGUACCAACAAACAAAAUAUAUUAAAAUUGAUGGCUUGACUCUAUCCAUAUCAGAGUUGACUAAUUAAAUGUUGAUGUCUUUGGUAUGACAUAUUACGUCGAUGUGUUGAAAUGUUUUUUUUUUUUUUGAUAAAGGGCUUGCUAUUAACUUAAAAGAGAAAACGUACAUAAAGACUACAGCCCAGCCAGGCAUUUGUUUCUUGGGUCUAGCCCAUUAGUUAAAGACAACAAAAAGAAAUCCUUUUAGGAGGCCCAUUUUAAGAAACCAGUCGAGAAAGAGGGGAAUUGUCGAUACAUCUUCGUUAUGAGUCAUGCAGAGAUUCGGCGAGACCAGCUGAGAGAGAUGAAGUGCGAACCUGAGCCCGGAAUGCUGAAAGAGGGAGUUCUUCAUGGUGAAGACAUCCAAAUAUUGAAGAGCGCUGAUGAGAGAGGUGGUGAGGAUAAUCUGAUGGAGGCAAUUUUUGUUCUGAUGGUAGAGAUGACCAGAGAAGAGAUUGAGUCCGGUGAUCGGAAUGUAUUGCGGUGGAGGCGGUUGUUUCUCUCAGUCCAGAUGAGGUAGAUCACACAUUGCCAAGUGAGGAGACAGAGUAGCUUAUGUCUGUUAUUGCUUGUAAAGGUGACUUCUCUGUCCAUAAUUCCAUCGUUCACAUUGGACGGAUCCUUUUUCUAGUUACGGAAGGUCUAAUCAAUUAAUCACACGAUUAUUAUGUAAAUUAUAUGUCUGUUAGAUGAAGCAUUUAAUCCUCUGCAUCCACACAUGGAGACCACUAAUAGCAAGCGAAAACGAAUAAUGAUGUUAGAUGAAGCGUUUAAUCCUCUGCAUCCACACAUGGAGACCAUUAAUAGCAAGAGAAAACGAAUACAAUCCUAGUACCCUUCACAUCAUGAGAUUAUAACCAGUUUUUUGGAGUUGAUUUUGAAACGUUUAGACUUUAUUAAAGUAUAUGAGUACAAAUUAGAGCAUCCCCCUAAGAGGAAAAGCUUGAUAAAUAGAUUGAGGACCACAAGAAGUUGUGGCUCCGGCGUUAUCUUAUCAUUAAUGUUUGAUUCAUGUAGAAAAAUAUAUACAAGAUAUUUUGAAUUUAUGCCUAGUCCAUCAAUCUAUGCUACUCCAUUCAUCCAUAUGUAAAAUCCGAAAGGAUUAUUAAAAUUUAUUGACCAUGUGUAACUCAUAAAUCUUAGGUUUGUAACAAUCAAUUCACCAUUCAGAUAUUUAACUACUAAUUCAGUAAUUAUUAUUCGGCACUGGAUUUCAGUAACUACCUCACUUGUUGCAUUAAUAAAAAAACAAUGAAGAAGAACAUUUCUUUUUAAAAUCGAUACACAAACAUUUUGAUUUCAAUAGCGUUAGAACAUCAAAAUAUCAAACAUCAAAAUAUCAAAAUAUCAAACGAAGAACAACUUAAGUUGAUAGAAACAAAAAGACUUAUUAAAUCAAACUACACAAUGGGGACCGUUCUACUAUCACUUGUUGUGUUCUCAUUGUCUUCAUUUUCACCGGACAUUUCCUCGAGCGACUUCCCUUUAGAUUCAGGCACCAAGAAAGUGAAGAGGAUGCCCAAGAAGUUAACAACACCUAACACGAGAAGCGAGUUUCUGACUCCAAUCCCUGGAGGAUAUCCUGCGUCUGUCUUGUUCUUGUCAGGGCUUUGAGCCAAGUACAAGAAUCCAAAGGCACCAACCAUGGCACCUAACUUUCCUGAUGCAGCAGAGAUACCAUGGCAGGUAGAUCUGAACCUGGCUGGGAAGAUCUCCGCCGGUACAACGAAGGUUGUAGCAUUGGGUCCAAAGUUAGCAAAAAAGAACGUCAAAGAGUACAUGAUAACGAAUCCAAUUCGGUUCUCCUUGUGAGUCCAGUGGUUGUACGGAAUAGCCAAAGCAAACAUAAACACCGUCAUGAAGAAGAAUCCCAUCAUCUGAAUCGCAAACCUUCCAAUGACGUCUAUAAAAGCAACUGUGAACCAGUAACCAGGUACCGUGCUACACAAGGCAAUGAGAGUUUGCGCGCGUGCAAUCUUGAAAACUUCUUGAAUCGCGUUCAUGGUUUGAGCCGGAGGUAUCCACCCUAUUGCGCUGAAAAUAUCCUUCUGGAAAAGGUUUUGACUGUAGAAAGCGAUGUCGAGAAGGAACCAGGUGGAUGUAGUACCUAGCAAAUGAAGCCCAUGGCGUUUCAUAAAUUCCUUGGAAAACAAGGAAAAGGCUUUGGACUUAUUACUUGAGAUCUCUUCCACUUUCUCCUGUUCUGCCUCUAUCUCCACUUGCAGAACCCUAGACAUGUCUG